CCAGCCUCGCUAGGGUGCCACCCCAGAUUCCUGCUAAUAGAGUGCCCUAGGAAGCCACCAUAAUUUGUCACAAUUGGUAUGAGAUGAAAGCCUAUUUGCCAUCUUUGUAUGUGCUCCCUACAAACCGUUUUGAUACCUCAUAGCCACAUGAUACUUUACAUUUCUCUAGUGUUUGCACUUAAACUCUAGCACACCUUCCCGCUCAGGAAACGGGAGAGGAGAAAGGUGGAGAAUUCACCAAGUAACCCCAUGAUAAGAACAGCAGCACAGCUCUGUUGUUACCAGGCUGCCUUUUACCUCUCCCCCUCAGGCUUUCCAUCUGAUGGUCCCCUGGUGUGUGCCCUGGAACAGGAGCGAAGGCUCCGCCUCCCUCCGAAGCCACCUCCCCCUUUACAGCCCCUUCUCCGAGGUGGGCAAGGGUUGGAAGCUGCUCUAAGCUGCCCCCGUUUUCUGCGGUAUCCACGGCAGCAUCUGAUCAGCAGCCUGGCAGAGGCAAGGCCAGAGGAACUGACUCCCCACGUGAUGGUGCUCCUGGCCCAGCACCUGGCCCGGCACCGGUUGCGGGAGCCCCAGCUUCUGGAAGCCAUUGCCCACUUCCUGGUGGUUCAGGAAACGCAACUCAGCAGCAAGGUGGUACAGAAGUUGGUCCUGCCCUUUGGGCGACUGAACUACCUGCCCCUGGAACAGCAGUUUAUGCCCUGCCUUGAGAGGAUCCUGGCUCGGGAAGCAGGGGUGGCACCCCUGGCUACAGUCAACAUCUUGAUGUCACUGUGCCAACUGCGGUGCCUGCCCUUCAGAGCCCUGCACUUUGUUUUUUCCCCUGGCUUCAUCAACUACAUCAGUGGCACCCCUCAUGCUCUGAUUGUGCGUCGCUACCUCUCCCUGCUGGACACGGCCGUGGAGCUGGAGCUCCCAGGAUACCGGGGUCCCCGCCUUCCCCGAAGGCAGCAAGUGCCCAUCUUUCCCCAGCCUCUCAUCACCGACCGUGCCCGCUGCAAGUACAGGUGGAUGGGGCAGCCUGGGGCAAGGGGAGGGGCCAGCCUGGGACCAGCAGAGUGGAAAAGCCAGAGGGACCAUGAAGCGCCAAAGCUAAGGAGCUCUCGGCCACCAUAAAACUGGGCCCUGAAGCAGCAGAGGGCUUUGCCCAGGGUGGUGGCACUAGACUGGGACAGAUUAGGAUGAGGUGCCGGGCCCUUCCUGCUACUGGUGUCCUUUCUCCUCAGUCACAAGGACAUAGUAGCUGAGGGGUUGCGCCAGCUGCUGGGGGAGGAGAAAUACCGCCAGGACCUGACUGUGCCUCCAGGCUACUGCACAGGUGAGCAAGGGGCAGGCGGCAGGCCCGGGGAGACGGAGCCCUGGCUAAGGCCGCCGGCCCUGCUCCCCCUCCAGACUUCCUGCUGUGCGUCAGCAGCUCUGGUGCUGUGCUUCCCGUGAGGACCCAGGACCCCUUCCUGCCAUACCCACCAAGGUCCUGCCCACAGGGCCAGGCUGCCUCUAGCGCCACUACUCGAGACCCUGCCCAGAGGUAAAGGAGGCAGGGUGGGGGAGCCCUGGCCACCUUGCCCGCCAUGCCCUGAGCCACGUCCCUCCCCCUGCAGAGUGGUGCUGGUGUUGCGGGAACGCUGGCAUUUCUGCCGGGACGGCAGGGUGCUGCUGGGCUCGAGGGCCCUGAGGGAGCGGCACCUAGGCCUGAUGGGCUACCAGCUCCUGCCGGUGAGUGGCCCUGGCCUGGCCCGUGGCGCAUCCUCACUCCCAGCCUGCGGGUAACCUGCCGCCCUCUCCUCUCCCCACAGCUACCCUUCGAGGAACUGGAGUCCCAGAGAGGCCUGCCCCAGCUCAAGAGCUACCUGAGGCAGAAGCUCCAGGCCCUGGGCCUGCGCUGGGGGCCUGAAGGGGGCUGAGGGGAUGAUGUGGGGUUCAGGAUGGCCCCCCCAUGGGGGGUGGAUGAUUUGCACUUUGGUUCCCUGUGUUUUGAUUUCUCAUUAAAG
rnacentral:sRNA from 1 species